rnacentral:rRNA from 1 species
UACGGGGGGGGCAAGCGUUGUUCGGAAUUACUGGGCGUAAAGGCUCGUAGGCGGCCAACUAAGUCAGACGUGAAAUCCCUCGGCUUAACCGGGGAACUGCGUCUGAUACUGGAUGGCUUGAGGUUGGGAGAGGGAUGCGGAAUUCCAGGUGUAGCGGUGGAAAAUGCGUAGAUAUCUGGAGGAACACCGGUGGCGAAGGCGGCGAUCCUGGACCAAUUCUGACGCUGAGGAGCGAAAGCCAGGGGAGCAAACGGG